AGGCUCUCGGUCCCUGAGGUUCCAACAGGAGAUUUAUUAGGGUUGAACGGGUCAGGAACCAGAGCCCCGAGCACUGCCGUGCCUGGGAUUAAAUCCAGGGACACAUUGGUGGUGGGUACAAUCAAUCAUCCAAUGGGGAAUCCUUGGGGGAGAAGUAGAGGGCAGGUUCUUACAGAGUACAAACCAACACGGGAAGCAGAGGGAAGAGAAUAGGUCACAAUGAGGCAUCGGAGAUUAGGGGAUUUCCAGAGGGGUGGAAGAACCAGGGAUUGGCUCAGGGUGGGAUUGCCAGGGAAGGUUCCAGAAGGAUGGGCAGGGCUGCAAUAAGGGACAGGGAAGGAACUGGAAUAAGGGCACUGGACAACUUCAUUGAACAGUGAAGCACAAAGUCUUGGUUUCUAUUUAGUCCUGGGAGAGAUUGUGCUCAAAGGCCCAACUGAGACAGGUAAAAUUGUUGUU
rnacentral:lncRNA from 12 species